rnacentral:rRNA from 1 species
AGCAGCCGCGGUAAUUCCAGCUCCAAUAGCGUAUAUUAAAGUUGUUGCAGUUAAAAAGCUCGUAGUUGAAUUUCGGGGUUCAUCCGUUGGUCGGGCUUUUUUGGUCUGUACUGGCGUGAUGGAUUCCUACCUUCUGAAUAACCGGCAUGUCAUUAAUUUGGUGCGCUGGGGAAGCAGGACUGUUACCUUGAAAAAAUUAGAGUGCUUAAAGCAGGCUAUCGCCUGAAUACAUUAGCAUGGAAUAAUGAAAUAGGACGGCAUGGUUCUAUUUUGUUGGUUUCUAGGAUCACCGUAAUGAUUAAUAGGGAUAGUUGGGGGCAUUAGUAUUCAAUUGUCAGAGGUGAAAUUCUUGGAUUUAUUGAAGACUAACUUCUGCGAAAGCAUUUGCCAAGGAUGUUUUCAUUAAUCAAGAACGAAAGUUAGGGGAUCGAAGACGAUCAGAUACCGUCGUAGUCUUAACCAUAAACUAUGCCGACUAGGGAUCGGACGAUGUUAAUUUUUAAUGUACUCGUUCGCGCCU